GACGAACGCUGGCGGCGUGCUUAACACAUGCAAGUCGAACGAAGUGGCGAACGGGUGAGUAACGCGGAAUCAACCUGCCCUUCAGCGGGGGACAACAGGUGGAAACGACUGCUAAUACCGCAUACUGAAGGAGGGGAUUGCGUCUGAUUAGCUAGUUGGAGGGGUAACGGCCUACCAAGGCGAUGAUCAGUAGCCGGUCUGCGAGGUGGGACGGCCACAAUGGGACUGAGACACGGCCCAGACUCCUACGGGAGGCAGCAGUGGGGAAUCUUCCGCAAUGGACGAAAGGCUGACGGAGCAACGCCGCGUGAGGGAUGACGGGCUUCGGGUUGUAAAGCUCUGUUAAUCGGGACGCGGUACCGAAAUAGAAAGCCACGGCUAACUACGUGCCAGCAGCCGCGGUAAUAC
rnacentral:rRNA from 1 species